UCUCAACAAUAGAUAAACACUUAAAAAAAUUUUUUUAAUGUAAUAAAAAUGAAGGAUCAAUCAUCCCAAACGGCUUGGAACCAUUUCCCCCUUAACACACGCAUUUACUAAGAGCAGAGUGGAUGUGAGGAAGUAAAAUUAGACUUAAUGGCAUUCUUGAGACUUUGAUCCUCGCAGUAGUGAUUUCACACUGAGGGAUGGUGUUUACACGAUGCUAAUCCAAAAGGUCAAUCAGUCUGAGUAAUUAGAAUCACCGUGCUCGAGCUAAAAGGCCAGCGAGUCCAAUCCCUUUAUUUUACAUGUAGGGAUUACGAUAGAAAUCUAUCAAACCAAAUCGGCCAGCUGCCUGAUGGCAUUGACUGGCUGUUCCGUUGAAAGGACCAGUCAUUUAUUGCAAAUAAUUAGCCUGUUUCUUCUCACCCUCCUACAGGCCCUACCAAAAGUAGCCGUGUAAAAUAGGCUCCAACCUCAGCGCUGUCUCCUGAAGAAGUGAAGUUCCAUGACAUGGCUGCUAUCAGCCUGCCUCUCACCCUGUGACACAUUGUUGCCCAGUGAGGCAGGCAGGCGGCCAUUUCUAAAUUUUUUUUUCCUUAAUAUUUAUUUUUAAGGAAGAGAGAGAGAGACAGAGUGUGAGCAGGGGAGGGGCAGAGAGAGAGGGAGGCACAGAGUCUGAAGCAGGCUCCAGGCUCCGAGCUGUCAGCACAGAGCCCGAUGCGGGGGCUCGAACUCACAAACUGAGAGAUCAUGACCUGAGCUGAAGUCGGACGCUUAACCGACUGAGCCGCCCGGGAGCCCCCAGGCGGCCAUUUCUAAGGCACCUGAACAUUAGCAAUGUAUGGGUAAUUAAGGCGUUACACGAGGAGUGAUUACUACUAGUCUUUCCCACUGAGCGGCGGUUGCAACCUCAUCGAGCCCCACGGAAUCCAGUCUGAGCUCUUAUGGUCUCAGUAAUACCUCCCAAAGGCACGUGGGCAGGCCCUGUGGCCUGUGGCUCCUGUCAGUGGGACCGAACCCAGGGUGCAGGGCAGCCCACAAGGCCUCAAGAUCUCCACAGCCACUGCCAUUUCUUACAUUGAGAAUUCCAAACAUCGCUAACGGGCUCUGGGGCAACCACACUUCGGUCUGGUUCAGCUGCCUUUGUUUAGGUUUUUUGUUUUUUGUUUUUUGUUUUUUUUUUCCUUUUAGGCAACGCCCCCCCCCCUCCCCCCUAGCUUUCUCUAGGGUUCCUGCAGCAGUAAGUGGUUUCUGAGGUUCAUUUCCGCGCUGGGCGGGAGAACCGCGCAGCUCGGUCCUCAGAGCCUGGGGCGGGGGGAGGAGGGGCUUGCCGACGGUAAACAUUGACCUCAGCAAAUCACCACCGCCCGCCAAAGACUGCCACUAGGGUGCGCUAGCAAACAACACAAAAGGCACCCUUUGGUGCAUUCCUUUCUCAACCGCUUGUCUGGAAUUCAGAGCUCCGUGUGUGCGCUCCCAUUGAGGGUUUCGAAAUGCUCCGAAGUUGUUAGGCUGUCCCGAAGGAAGUCGGCUAUUAAAAUAAACCAGCAUUUAAUCCUGCAUGAUGACCAACGUUCCGAUUAUAUUUCUAGAAGUGAUGCUGACUCAGAGCAACUAUCAACUCUUGCUGAUGCACCUUUUUGAAAUGGUCGGGCCUCGUUCCCUGUUGCUAAGCUUGUGACAAAUUUCAUGCCUUAAAGGCAUGCAUCUUUGGACCACAAUCUACAGAAGUUCUGGAAACCCAAAUUUAGGAAGGCCUGGUCCGCUCGCAGUCAGCACUGUGAAUUAUAAGAGACACCCUGUCCGUGGAGACCUCAGAACAAAAGAAAUAAGGCUUUGUAAUCAACAAACAAGGGAAUUAAACCAGCGCCAGGCCUGUGACUGUGGGGGUCAUGCCCUUGCGAGGCAAUAAAAAGGAAGAAAAAAAAUAUAAAAACUGCUAUUUUUUACAAACUGGACUGCAGUCUUCAUCUGCCCUGCUGUAACAGCUAGAAGACCCCUAGUAGCCUGGAAUGAAUGUGGAGGCACCCAGGCACCUUUUGAAAAGACUUCAGUAUCCCCUCCAGAAUGUCCUGCUUUCCGGAUUCCCAGAUCCCUGUCAUCCUGGCGAGCACCAUACUCUGUGAGGAAACCAAGGUGCUGCCAGGAUCAUGUGUCAAAUAAAGCAUGGGAAGCCCAUGAUCUCAGCGUGCAAAUGUCUACGCAGCUGCCUAACCGGGAACUGGUGAAUAACACACACACACACACACACACACACACACACACACACACACACACCACUCAAACGUGUUGAGCCUAGGACAGAGUUGUUUAAUCAAAGCGUUCACUUCUUGGAGUAGGCAACGAUCCAUUGCCCGACCCCCUAGAAUUAUCUGUUAGGACACAGAAGGAUGGCCUGUUUCUCUCUCUUUGCCUUCCUACCACACUCUGGGAAAGCCAUACAUGGAAGAAGCCAGAUCUCAUUUCAUUUUCAAACUCCCUGUCCCCGGAUGAAAUUGAUGGUGGUUUUCUUUUGCUUCUAUAAACAUAGUUCAUUGGCAUUGACUUUCACAAUGAAGGCUAUUGCUUCUAAAAUAUACAUUCAUGCAGAAUCCGUUAAAUUUUACUCCCUUGGGACGGGUCUCGGCUUCUACUAGUCAGCUGAGUCCUAAAUUUUGUGCCCAGGAUAACUUUUGUGGGGACCACGGCCCUCCCCUGGGCAGCAUCAGGAAGCCUAACCCACAGAUGGCUGCAGGCUAAACUCUAUGCUAAUCUCCCCAAAGUUCCUUAUUUGCCACUUGCUAAUACAGUCUUUAUCAAUUCAUUCAAGGAGCUUUAAUGCAAAUCAUAAGUCUAACAUUCAAUGAGAAAUUCAUUUCACUCAUGCAUAAUUCAUAUGAUGAUAAGGGCAAUGAACAUCCUGGGGAGGAAGGGGCCGGCUUUCUUUUCACACCAGAAUCUGCGGCUUUUUAUAUUACAUGGGACCACGGGCUUGAAAUGAGUCCAUGCACAGCAGCAGUGACAUUGAGAUGUUUCCAUUUGCUUCUCCCAUAACGUUUUUUCUGGUGGUCAAAAAAAUUUUUUUAGUGUUUAUUUGUUUUGGGGGGGGGGGAGGGGCAGAGAGAGAGAGGCAGAUACAGAUCUCGAAGCAGGCACCAGGCUCUGCACUGUCAGCACAGAGCCAGGCACCGGGCUCAAACUCCCCAACUGUGAGCAGGAGACCUGAGCCGGAAGUCAGACACUUCACCAAUGAGCCACCCAGGCGCCCCCUGGUGGUUGUAAAAAGCACUGUCAACAGAAUAUUCUCCCCGCUGGGGGCCCUGGUGACUGGGAUGCCCAGGGAGCUUACCUGCCACAAAAUCACCAAAGCCUACUGUGGUGAGAGUGACCACCACAAAGUAAAUGGACUCCAAGGCUGUCCACCCCUCGAUAUAUUUGAAAAUGACAGCAGGGAUCGUCACAAAUACAAUACAGCCGGCCAAGAUGAACAGGAUGGUUGAGAUGACCCGGAUCUUGGUCUGGCUCACUUGCUUUUUCUGGGAACAGCAAAGCAGAAAGAUAGGUCAGCUUUAUCACCCUAGAUUCAGAGGACAGAGAGGCACAGAAAAAAAUGUAUUAUGUCAGUGGCUUUUCACCUUUCUUCAGUCAUGGGCAACUUUGGGAGAACCGGAGGAAGGAAGGCUGUGGACCCUCUCCUAGAAAAACGCACGGACAGAAGUUUUCAGAUGCUCUAUAGGUGGCUCUUGGACCCCAGGAAGGCUGUUCAUGAACCCCGGGUCAAGAAACCAUGGACCGUGGGUCAAGAAACCCUGCUUAGGUCCUGCCUUGAAUGUCCUUCAAGUGGUUCCAAAUGCUGAUUCUAACUUCCUCACUGGUGCGAAUAUAAUUAUUCCCCAGAAGGGGUUGCUGCCAUUUCUCAUGUAUUAUCGACCCUCCUUUAGGAGGGCACAGGUUUGGAGCUCUUUCCACAGUGGCAGUGAUGGACUUGGCACCUAGUUUCCCUUGUGUCAAAGGGAACGUGUUGGGGGAAAAAAAAACAAAAACAAAAACAGCUGGCUUGAGACAGACUAAAAUGUUCAGAGGACAAGGAAAACACAGCCACCCCCAUACUCAUUUGAGACAGACUCCAGCUUCUUCACCCUCCUUCCCUGCUGAAGUGGUACGUUUAUAACAUACUUUUCUUUCAAAACACGUGUUUGAGCUAGCGCUACGGCGCGUUUAGGCUGUAUUAUCCACCAAAGACGGACAAAAGUCUAAGCCAGAAUGAUGGGGUCACUGUCAAAAAUGACAGGAGCUUCAUUUCAGAUCAGCUUCUCAAGGAGCCAGUAGGAGGUGAGAGCAUUUAGAUUGGGUAUUAGACUGACGUCACUCAAAGAAACAGUGCCAACAGAGUCCAGAGGUAGACUGGAAGCAUCAUUGGUAUUCCCCUUGAAUGCACUCAAGACAACACUGGCAUUGCCUCUGGACUAAAUAAUCUUUAAGGUCUUCUCAAAGCUCCCAGGACUGGCAUGUCAAUUGUCAUCAGGGGGCCCUAGCACUAUAACCCAACCAAAACCAUGUAAUACCAGAAUGAAUGGGCCUUUCUACACCACCUAGAUUGAUGUUCUGCAAAAAUACACCACAUGUGGGGCACUGGAUCUAGGAAAUCCUUACCAUGUGUUCUGUUUCCUAUUCGUUGCCUUCUGGUGAAUUAGAAGGCAGAGAACCUCAGAGCCCAGAGAGACCUUUGCAUUCAUACACCUCAUUUUACAGACGCAAAACCAGAUGCCAGGAGGGGUUGAGGGACCAGCAUAAAAUGAUUUUUCUAAUUAGAGCCAAAGCCAAGAUUAGACUUCUGAUGUGAUUAACUCCCAGUCCAGUGCCUACUGAUGGAACCAGACUUCAAGUUACUCAACAAUUUCCCAGCUCAAACAAAGUUGCCAGAGUCCCCCCCGCCCCGCCCCUCCAACCUACCCCCUCAUAACGAAAUCAACCAGACUAACCCCCAUGAAGAACAGGCCAUCCUGCUUCCCUUCUAGAAAGGAAGACUGAGAAUAGAAAAGUGUUACUAUGCGAUCUGUCCGGGAAUUCCUAACCUUCAGUAAUAAGCAGUGACACCUCUGUGACAUCUUCCCAGGACAGAGAGAGUCAAUUGUGUCUUCUAAGAUGAGCCACUUGGGUCAACCAUGGAAAUGCCAGUCAAGAAGAUGACUAGGUUUCCCCUCCUUCCAUCCCCUCCUCCCCAAUUGAGGGAGAAAGGAUGGUGUUGCUUGUUCACUGGAAAUUUUCAGGGAUGAGGAAGCUGAAAGGAGGAAAGGCUGCUGUCCGCUCUAAUCAUGCCUCAGAAACAUUCAGCCCCACCCGACUGGGGUCCCAGUCCCAGGUAUGCUCAACGCGGCAAAAUGGAGGACACAGGGCAGUCAGUAAGAGCAGUUACAGUGGGGAACAUAUUUUGGCACAAAUCUAAGUCAGCACGAUUUCCACCCCCGUUCUGGGAUCAGUAUACUCCCUAAACACACACAAGAAGACCCAAAGAAAUACAAUCCUUCCUUAUGAAAAGUAGUCAUGUGCUCUAACUCCCAAGAGGGCACUCAGUGUAUAAAGUGGGAACAGGGAAAAAUUAUUUGAUCCAUGCUCUUCACAUGGUCCCUUCCUCAUCUCCUCAGAAAAGCCAUCUGGAAAAAAAAAAGUGAUAAUUUACUGAUAUUGUUGAAACUGCAAAUGAAAAUUCCAAGUAUUUUUGCACGGAAGUAUUGUGACCAGAUAAAUCACUUGAGAACCACGGGAAUGUCUUCCCCAUUUCAUAAAUUUCCAGACUGGAUAUGAUAGCAGGACUGGGUGAGGGCAGUUGAGUCCCUCUGAGAAUCCAGGAACUUAUGUAUCACUGGCCUAGUUUUGUUUAUAGACAUAUAUAAAAAUCCAAAGCCCAAAAGGAGAUUUCGCCAUCAAUCAUUAAAUUCAUCUAAUUGCUGGCAAUGGACACACCAUUCCCCCCCCCCCCCCCGCCACACACACACCAUAAAUUGUCCUCCACAAACGCAUAAUAAAAGUAAAGUGAACUAAAUGUUUGUGAGACACUUGUGAGGUCAUAAAUUAGGGUGGGGACACAACUGCGACCCACAUGAGGCUGAGGUUGGCAAAGGAGGACUGCAAGUAUGUGAAAGCUGGGGGACAUUCCCCAGCUCUCAGAGGUGGGCAGAAGGGACGAUGGCACAGGACAGGAUUCGUUUCAUGGCAAAGAGGGAGGUAUGAAUAACCCAGAGGGAAGACACUUGUGAGCCUCUGGUGGGCUGCCCAGAGUGCCUGUCUACAUGCCCAGGAAUCAAGGCUCACAUGCAAAGACUGUUGAUGCUUACGGUCAAAUUCACUUCUGCCAAGGAACGGAAACAACCGACAGAGGGGACAUUGCUCUAUCUACAUGAAGCCACAGCGACAAACACGUGGGAUCUGGACAUGAGGAGACAGGAUGUCUUACACCUUUCAUGGAGACCCUUCUGAACCAUCAGAUGCUAUUCCUACCUUACAAGAGAAGGAAGGAAGGAAGUGGAAAGACUAAGUCUGUGCAUGCACACUGGGGCAGGGCCACCUCCUUCGGAAUCCUUCUUCUGUCACCUAUGGGCUGGGUGACCUUGGGCAGGGCACAGAACCAGUCUAAGCCUUCCAAUCUCAUAAGAUUAAGAUGAUAAUGGUCUAUUUGGGAAGGCUGUUGUGCAACUUAUUCUGGGUAAAGCCCACAACCCAGGGCCUAGCAUACAGUACACUCUCAAAGCAGAUUAGCAACUCAUUUCUAGACUUCGAUACUGUAGUGCCAUAACACUCAGUCUGGCCUCAACCAGAUCCUACCAAUCCAAGGCUCCCCACAAAGGUCCCUAUAUACAGAAGUUCACGAGGGGUUGGUUACUCCUAAGUAACAAUCAGAUUCCCAGAAGUUAUCUGUGAUCAAAUCUUGCCAGAAAGAAAGAGACUUCGUUAACACUACUUAAAAAUGUUUAAAUGUUAAACACUAUGUGGGCAGUAUUUGAAGUAGUUAUAUUUUAGGUAGAGUUUGAUAGCUUUAAUGUUUACAGAAAAAGGUGAAGAUUCAUUGUGUUUUGUUUUAUUUUUUUGCAAAUGCAUUUUAAGAGCCAUUAACACCUACAGUGAUCUCAGAUGGCAACAGGAAACACCAAAGGGACACCGGCCAGCUAUCAAAGAUAAACUGAAAAAGAGGAAGAAUCACACGUUAGAUUAGUCCCUAUGGGGUCAGUUAAAGUCAGUGCUGAGAUGGUUUGCCUGCUAAAAAAUAACAGAACAAUCUAUCUUUAUGUGUAUUCAUCAGGGUGAAGUCCCCAGGCAUUUUCCCUCAUUGAUAAGAAAUGAUCUUAUUCCCAGAGCAUAACAUCACUAAAGCCCUCUUUAAGGACCCAUCUGAGAGAGGAGCACUCUGGGUAGGAAUGACACCAGCACUGAAAAACUAGUUAAAACCAUUGGUGGGGAUACUAGAAUUUGAGUAGAAGAUUCAGUCAGGGGAUCCGGGCAUGCAUCUUGGGACCUGUGGGUUAACUGACCCCUUACAUCUCAGCAGAGCCGUGGUUCUUAAUGGGGACGAUUUUGCCCUUGAUGGGAAACCUACUAAUGUCUGGAAAUGUUUUUGGCUGUCACAACUAGAGGCACUGAUGAUUCUGGCAUCUAGUGAGCAGAGGCCAGAGACGCUGCUAAAUAUCCUGCAAUGCACAGGGCAGGUCCUGUGACAACAAUCUGCCGAAAAUGUCAAUAGUGCCAAGACUGAGCAACCCUGCAUUACACGAAGACAGAAAAAAGGGGGCCAUUCAUGGACAGACUGUGUCACGGGCUGUCACUAAGAGAUGUUGUGCAGUCUAGUUUGUGGAUGUCAUUUAUGUCGUUUGUCCCAAGUGCACAGCUGGGCCUAUCAUGAAAGCCACGCGAUAUCCUUAAACUAAUUUAGAAGACACCUGGUUGAUAAAGCUUUAAAAAUA